rnacentral:rRNA from 1 species
GUGAGGAAUUUUCCGCAAUGGGCGAAAGCCUGACGGAGCAAUGCCGCGUGAAGGAUGAAGGCCUAUGGGUUGUAAACUUCUUUUCUCAGAAAAGAAUUAUGACGGUAUCUGAGGAAUAAGCAUCGGCUAACUCUGUGCCAGCAGCCGCGGUAAGACAGAGGAUGCAAGCGUUAUCCGGAAUGAUUGGGCGUAAAGCGUCUGUAGGUUGUUUAAAAAGUAUUCUGUCAAAGAUUAGGGCUUAACCCUAUAUAGGCAGAAUAAACUUUUAAGCUAGAGUUUGGUAGAGGCAGAGGGAAUUCCCGGUGGAGCGGUGAAAUGCGUAGAUAUCGGGAGGAACACCAAAGGCGAAGGCACUCUGCUGGGCCAAUACUAACACUGAGAGACGAAAGCGAGGGGAGCAAAUGGGAUUAGAAACCCUAGUAGUCC